rnacentral:rRNA from 1 species
UACUAGAGUAGCACUCGCAUAUCAAUAAGCGGAGGAAAAGAAACUAAUCAAGGAUUCCCCUAGUAACGGCGAGUGAAGCGGGAAGAGCUCAAAUUUGAAAUCUUAAAGGGUUUCCCUUUACGAAUUGUAGUUUAAAGAAGUGUUUUCUGUUGAGGUUUUGGUAAAAGUUCUUUGGAAUAGGACAUCAUAGAGGGUGAGAAUCCCGUAUUUGACCUUUACUUUCAACUUUGUGAUACACUUUCAAAGAGUCGGAUUGUUUGGGAAUGCAGUCCAAAAUGGGUGGUAAAUUUCAUCUAAAGCUAAAUAUUGGCGAGAGACCGAUAGCGAACAAGUACCGUGAGGGAAAGAUGAAAAGAACUUUGAAAAGAGAGUUAAACAGUACGUGAAAUUGUCAAAAGGGAAGCGUUUGACACCAGUGUUGUUUUUCUGAAAAUCAAUUAAAGAACUGUUUAUGCUAAGUUGUUUAGACUUUAUCAGCUAACUGUUUAGUUUUAGGCUUUUCUUUAAUGCACUUUUCAGUUAACAAGUCAACAUCAAUUUCUUUUGCUGUAAAAAAGCUUGAGGAAGGUGGCUUGAGAUUCGUCUUAAGUGUUUAUAGCCUCUUGCCUAUGCAGUCGGAGAGAUUGAGGUCUGCAGCGUAGAUCCUUCGGGGCUAAAUGCAUUUGUGCUAAGUUAUAGCAUUUUAUAGACAACUUGUUGACUAAUGAUUUGUCUUGUAGCUUACUCGCUUAUGUUAUUUUACCUACGCUUAGGAUGUUGAGCGCAUGUCUCUCUCU